rnacentral:rRNA from 1 species
AACGAACGCUGGCGGCAUGCCUAACACAUGCAAGUCGAACGAGACCUUCGGGUCUAGUGGCGCACGGGUGCGUAACGCGUGGGAACCUGCCCUUAUGUUCGGAAUAACUCCCCGAAAGGGGUGCUAAUACCGGAUAAUGUCUUCGGACCAAAGAUUUAUCGCCUUUGGAUGGGCCCGCGUUGGAUUAGCUAGUUGGUAGGGUAAAAGCCUACCAAGGCGACGAUCCAUAGCUGGUCGGAGAGGAUGAUCAGCCACACUGGGACUGAGACACGGCCCAGACUCCUACGGGAGGCAGCAGUGGGGAAUAUUGGACAAUGGGCGAAAGCCUGAUCCAGCAAUGCCGCGUGAGUGAUGAAGGCCUUAGGGUUGUAAAGCUCUUUUACCCGGGAUGAUAAUGACAGUACCGGGAGAAUAAGCUCCGGCUAACUCCGUG